AACUUUCAGCAAUGGAUCUCUUGGCUCUCGCAUCGAUGAAGAACGCAGCGAAUAGCGAUAUGUAAUGUGAAUUGCAGAUCUACAGUGAAUCAUCGAAUCUUUGAACGCACCUUGCGCUCCUCGGUGUUCCGAGGAGCAUGCCUGUUUGAGCGUCAGUA
rnacentral:rRNA from 1 species